GUCCCUGUAGCUUACAACAAAGCGCGGCACUGAAGAUGCCGAGAUGGCCAGCUGCAUGUUCCCAGGGACA
rnacentral:tRNA from 1 species